CCAAUCGUAAAAUUGAAAACAAAAAUGGCGACACAGUGAAAGUUGGAAGUAAAUCUUGCGAAGUUAUCGUAACAGAGUUGUUUGACAAAGGCUAGCUGCCCACUGCAAUCCAGAUAAUUCUUAUGAGGUAUUGCUUGCACCCAACGAUGCGAUGAUUUUCCCAUUUCCGAAGCGAUUUCGGAAGAAGAGCCCCAAUGUGUUCAACGUGUGAGCAAGGAAACGUGAUGGACAAUGAACAUGAUGAAGUUUAUGACAAACCCAGACGAAAAUUUAUCAUGUUUCGUGUGAAUAUUUCAGCAAAAAUAUUAUGCUUUAAGUUGUAAAAGCCGUUUCCAAGGAACCAUCAGAUCAUCAGUACACUACCAUGACUCAGAGGGCCAAUGAUAGUAAACACUGCAGUAAGUCCACCAGGGAUUGAUGGCAAAAAAAAAG